rnacentral:lncRNA from 1 species
CAGCAGCAGUCCUGUCCUCGGCUGGGCAAUCGUGCCCCAUCACGGGGGCCUCAGUGGCCAAUGAGGCAACCACAGACAGUGAGGAGGACUUUAGAAUUCACUGUCUUGGAGAGUCUGGCUGUGAGAAAGAUGUCUUUUCAAGGCCCUUGGGCAGGAGCAAGGAUAGUUUCGGUCAGGCCUAGUGAGCAGACGGUACAGCAUACCAGGAACUUGCAGGCUUGUGCUGUUGGAGGUGAAUCUUGGUAAGUGGGUGAGCCAAGCUGUGGCACGCAGAUGUCAUGGCGUUCUGAAAAAAGUCAAAGGAAAGCCUCUGUUGACCCCUCUAAUUGAGGCUUAGCAACCAUCGCUCAAUAGGAUAAGACUUAGCAUGGUGCCUUAACCUCAGUGCCCUGCACUAACCUGCUGGUGGGGGGUGAGGGGCUAUGGACCAGAGUGGGGACCUGACAGGUACUGCCACUUCCCCCUCCAUCUCUCCACAUGGAGUUAAUCACAAGCCCUGGUGAUUUACUUCCUCAGUAGUUUGCGAAUCCACCAACUUCUUCCUAGGCCCUCUGCUGCCACUGUCAGCCCAGCCCUCCUUCAUCUUGGCCUCCUAACUCGUCUAUGCUUUCACUCUAGGCCAUUCACCACUUGGCAGGGUUUUGUUUUUUUGUUUUUGGGUUUUUUGGUGAGGAAGAUUGGUCCUGGGCUAACAUCUGAUGCCAGUCUUCUUUUUGCUUGAGGAAGAUUAGCCCUGAGCUAACAUCCAUGCCAGUCUUCUUGUAUUUUGUAUGUGGGACACUGCCAGAGCAUGGUUUUGAGUGGUGUGUAGGUCCAUGCCUGGGAUCUGAACCCAUGAACCCUGGGCCACUGAAAUGGAGUGUGUGAAAUUAACCACAAUGGGCCAGCCCCUGCUAGAGUCUUUUUAAAAAACCACUCUGAUUGUGCCUACCACUCUUUAGACGUCUGGUGACUUGAACUUCUCAAAUUCUGGACACAGCCCAUGUGGUCCUGCACGAUCUGGCCCCAAGCCAUUUCUCCAGCCACCUGGAAUAUCACAAACUCUUGCAGCUCAGAUCCUUUGCAUUCACUGUUCCAUCUGCCUAGAAUACUCCUCCUCUCCACGCCCUCUCUGCCUUGCCAACUCCUGGGCAUUAUCCGUCAGCUCCUUGCUCGUGUGUCGCUUCUCCAGGGAACCGCAGCAGGAUUCCCUGUAGAUUUUCACAUAGCACCUUGUACUUCAACAACAGCACCUGGCACCUUUACACUCCAGCAUGGCGGAAGCUUGCUUAUUUUGUUCAUCUCUUUGUUCUUAAAUGUGCAGCAUAAUAGUAGAUGAUGGAGAAAUGGUUGUUGGUUGAAUGUGUGGAUUGAAUGAAUGAGCUCUGGACUCAAGAGCCGAGCACUGGGCGUUGGCAUCUGAGUCUCCCCCUCACUGAGUUCC